GCAUGGCUGAAUUCUGUGUUACUUUGUGUGUAGUAAAUACAGUCAGACACCAUGCAACAUUAACUUUCACUCUCUUUUGUGCUACAUUGAGGCCUGAUGUGUGUCUCAUUACAGGAUGGAGAGUGAACACAU